CAAUAGCGUAUAUUUAAGUUGUUGCAGUUAAAAAGCUCGUAGUUGGAUUUCGGGUGGGACGCAGCGGUCUCGCAUUGCGUUUGUACUGCUGCAGCCCUCCUUCUUGCCGGGGGCGGCCUCUCGGUCUUCACUGUCUGGGGGUCAGAAUCGGCGAUGUUACUUUGAGUAAAUUAGAGUGUUCAAAGCAAGCUUACGCUCUGAAUAUAAUAGCAUGGGAUAACACGACAGGACUCUGGCCUAUCGUGUUGGUCUAUAGGACCAGAGUAAUGAUUAAGAGGGACAGUCGGGGGCAUUCGUAUUCCGUUGUCAGAGGUGAAAUUCUUGGAUUUACGGAAGACGAACAUCUGCGAAAGCAUUUGCCAAGGAUGUUUNCAUUG
rnacentral:rRNA from 1 species